AUUAGAUACCCUGGGUAGUCCACGCCGUAAACGAUGGAUACUAGGUGUGGGGGGACUGACCCUCUCCGUGCCGCAGUUAACACAAUAAGUAUCCCACCUGGGGAGUACGGUCGCAAGACUGAAACUCAAAGGAAUUGACGGGUCCCCGCACAAGCAGUGGAUUAUGUGGAUUAAUUCGUCGCAACGCGAAGAACCUUACCAGGGCUUGACAUCCUGCUAACGAGGCGGAAACGCAUUAGGUGCCCUUCGGGGAAAGCAGAGACAGGUGGUGCAUGGUUGUCGUCAGCUCGUGUCGUGAGAUGUAGGGUUAAGUCCCCCAACGAGCGCAACCCUUAUUGUUAGUUGCUACGCAAGAGCACUCUAGCGAGACUGCCGUUGACAAAACGGAGGAAGGUGGGGACGACGUCAAAUCAUCAUGCCCCUUAUAUCCUGGGCUACACACGUAAUACAAUGGCACUUAACAAAGGGAAGCAAAGCCGCGAGGUGGAGCAAAUCCCCAAAAAGUGUCCCAGUUCGGACUGCAGUCUGCAACUCGACUGCACGAAGUCGGAAUUGCUAGUAAUCGCGGAUCAGCAUGCCGCGGUGAAUACGUUCCCGGGCCUUGUACACACCGCCCGUCACACCAUGAGAGUCGGGAACACCCGAAGUCCGUAGUCUAACCGCAAGGAGGACGCGGCCGAAGGUGGGCUUGAUAAUUGGGGUGAAGUCGUAACAAGGUAAC
rnacentral:rRNA from 1 species